GCCUGGGUGGCUCAGCUGGUUAAGCGUCCGACUUCCAAUCAGGUCCAGAUCUCAUGGUUUGUGGGUUUGCGUCCCACAUCGGGCU
rnacentral:tRNA from 1 species